rnacentral:lncRNA from 1 species
AGUCCUGAUGUAUCACGUGUGAGGAGCAAAAUGAUUUAUGCAAGCUCUAAGGACAGAUUCAAGAGAGAGCUUGAUGGAAUUCAGGUAGAACUGCAAGCAACAGAUCCUAGUGAAAUGGAUCUUGACGUUAUUAGAAGCCGCGCCAGCUGAGUAUCUGGGUUUAGCAUUUGAUACAUUCUGCUUUACUUAUGUGACAUGUUUAUAGCUUGUGGGGUGGUAAACUUGGUUCAAUAUGAUGUUGGUUUGUUAUUUUAGUUUUUACUGCACAAUCUUCUUAUAGAAUGACAUUAGUGAGUUGUGAUUCGAUUUCUGGAUUCAAUAUGAUGAAUGUCUCUCUUGUAGUCUCAUCUACAAGUCUAUAUGUAACAGUUUGUGGGGGUAAACAACACCUUUAGUUUGUGUUUUGCAACUUUCAAAUGGAUGUACCCCUGUUAUCUUAAGUUGGAUUAUACAAAAUUACUGGUUAAGCUUUUCUAUUGGAUUGCUUUAAUUAUCGUUGGUGCUCUCUUAUGUAGUCAUAUAUACGUAGAGUUGAUGCUUGUUCCAUCUUUCACCCUAAUUGUCUGAAUGAGAUAUAUUUUCUGGUUCAUGGUGUUAUGGGAACUGUUUUUGAAGUUAUGCCUCUCCAGUUUCACAUUGCUGCCAUAUUGAUUUUCAGUACAGCAGUCUCAUAGACUUUUAAGUCAUUGGAAGGUUUUGCUUGUGACACAUGUUUCAGCUGCUGCAUUUAUUGAAAACAAGAUCAUUUUUUUUUCUGACAAAAAAUUUGAAGAAAUAAAGUGUUUAUAUUCUUUACCCGUUCAUAUCAGUCACAUGAGUUUCUAUAUUAAAGUAAGUUUGUUUGUUUGAUUGUUUUUGUUUGAUUUUUAUUUUUUUUUUUUUUUUACGAAAGCUAAACUUUAUUAAACAUGAGGUUGCUAUAUUUUUUUGAUGAGAUGAGGUUGCUAUAUUAAAGUUUCUUUAAGCGUUAAGAGAGUAAUGUCUGGCUUAUCUUAAUGUUCGUGGUAUUUUCUGGAUUGAAUUCAGUCUAUUAUGUGAUUAGUUAGCGUUGUAGUUAAUGUCAACCUGAUUAGAAAUAUUGUAACUUGCAUGUUUCGGGGUCAUCUCUUGCAUACAUAGGUUUUUGGACUCCACUGAACUAGGUGGCAUAUGCCUGCAAACAAUACUUUAAGCUCACCUUCUAAAACAUGCCUUUGCACGAGGUCUGCAUUGCUUUGAUGUAUUUCGGUGUUGAAACACUAAUUUUUUCGGGGAAAACUUGUAAUUAUAUCCAGAGUUAAUUUUUUAGACCAUCAAAGGUUUAUUGUUUUGCUUCUGAGGUGGCUAAAUAACUUGAUGAAUCUAUGAUCUGACCAUGGUCCAACCAAAGUUCAUUUCCCAUCUGCCUUUGCCUUCGUUCCUACAUUUUCUAGUUCCCCAGAUAUUCUAAAAAGUGACUGUUGCAUUCAUUGAAUAAAUGCUUGCAGUGAAACCUAAGUAAAAAGAGGAAUGUUGCUAUGGAGUGUGUUGUAUAGUAAUAGGCUUGUAAUGGAAUGUUGCUGAUUUGCUGCUUGCUGGUUCUUAAAGCUUGUAUUAAUCUCUGUGUACUGAGUGAAUCAUGCAGUUUUCAAUAACUACGCGGUGUUUCAAUUAGCCCGUGGCUGGUGGUUUACUAGCGGCUUGGCCUUUUGCUGGAAUUGAAUGACAAAUUGACAAUGAUCCUUGGAUGACAAAUUGACAAUGAUCCUCUUCCUCCGUUGUGUUGACAAUGUUUGUGAUGGAGUUUAAGCUCCAAGAGUCGGAUACGUCGAAUGAACCUACAUUUUGACCCAUAGCUUGCUAGUGGUAUCAUCUGUUGUUUGUUUGCAUUGCAGCCAACCAAAUAAGUGAUUUGGCACUAUCAGAUGCUUUUUUUGCCACCACUAACUAAAAUUGGGCAGAAAUAGCUUUAGCAUCUGAUAAUGGCAUAAUCUGGAUCAUCUAUAUCAAAAAUUUCAUGUGUGAGUGAACUAUCAUGUAACCUGUCAUUCUGCUGUUGUCCAUUCAAAAUAUUUCUCGGUGCUGAACCCAGGCUCUCCCACAGAGACCCUUAUAUAAUUUAUUUUAAAGCAAUAUUAAUCAUUAAACUCUAAAUUGCUAAACUUCUUAAACAUUAACAGAGGCAAACCUUUAUACCUUGUUGAGAGCCCAACAGUCGAUACUAGUAUACUACGAAAAGCAAGAUGCCCCGUCUUAUUUUAUUGAUCACUAGCCCUUACUCUCAGCCACUGAUUCAAGAACGAGGACAUUUUAGUUUUGUUCACAAGAUACAUUUUCCUUUAAAACUUGAACCACUAGUCCAACAUCAGACGUCUAAGUUUGUACUCAAACUUUGUAUUUACUGAUGAUUUACAUACUAUAUACAACAUACAUGUGGCACCAUCUCUACCGUCCAUCAUGGUGCCACAUGUCAACAUCUAAUGGGCUCUCUCUUGAUGGCACAAGUUACAAAGUUAAGCCUUAUUAUUACAAAGAUAUUUUCCCCAUUAUUACCCUAUUAAUUGCUAAGAAUGGAGUUACAUUGUAGCCUAUAAAUAUAAAGGCAAACUACUCAUCUUCUCAGGUUCUGAUGGUCUCAUGGUGAAUCAUACACAAGACCUCAACACUCUCUCAUGAGACCUCACCUCUCAGGUCUCAUCUCUCUUUUGAGCUCUCUCCAUUAUCGAGCUCCCAUUUUGUAUCACCACUACUAUAAUAAACUUCUUUCUCCCUCUCCGUGGACGUAGGCACAGUUGCCGAACCACGUAUACAAUGGUGUUCAUGUCUCUACUUUAUUAUUGUUGUUCAUAUCAUUUACAUCAUCAUCAUUCAUUAAUGUAUUGACCAACCUCACAAAAAUGGUUAAUACAAUUCAUGCCUCUGUUUAAUUCAUUGCAGAAAGUUCUUUGCCAAAGAACAAAAAGACACAUUAGUGGUGGUGUGGUUCAAAUUGUGGAUGAAGUUGGUCUGUCUGAUUGGAGCAAAAAAUAGGUUCUCAGAAAAUAUCAAGGAAAAUCAGAGGACAGUAAAAAAAAAUAAAAUCACCUGGCCAAAACCAGAGUACACUAUGCAAGUGUGCCGUGCGUGGUUUUAAUCAUCUGUCGAAGGAGUUUUGAUCUUACAAGUUACAACCUGUGCUCAUAAUGAAAGGGAUGCAUAAUGCAUUACUGUUGUUCCAUUCCCAUAGAAUCAAGUAGAAUUGUAUUCAUUUAAUAGGAAUACAAUGUUAGCCAUUGGAGCGUCGAGGUGCACAAAAUUUGGCCCGGACAUUCGGUUAGCCUCUUCUAAUAGAUAGUCUAAUUGGCAAUUCUAUGAAUAGAAUUAGCAAUUUUGUUCAAAAAAAAGUAGAAUUGUAUUCAUAAAAAAAAUAAAAAAAAUCAAGUAGAAUCGUAGAAAUGUGAAAUGAAUAACUAGUGACACAAGUGUAAAUAUGUGCACCAAUAUAUGCGUCAACCAAUCUCAAAGUGUGGUGCACAUCUCAACAAAAGCACAGAUGAAUGGAUGUGAGGUUCAAUCGUUGUAACAUACAGUAUUUUGCUUUAAACAAUUAAUUGAGAUGCAACACCAAACAACCAAAAAGCAAAAGCUAUACUCGAAGCCGAUCGUGAUGGUUGCACAUUUGCACAGCAAAGAAAGAAAGUGGCAUACAUGUUAUUUUAACAGCUCAUAUAUUACGUGGCAAUAGAUAAUUGGUCUGACUUUCUUUACAGAGGGAGUGGACAAUGGACAUUACUGACCUUCAUCAUGAUAUAGAGCGAAGCACCGAAGACCACCGAACAUUAAAAAGCAACUCCAUCUCAUCUCUACAACUCUCCUUUCUUCUCUCCCUCUCUCUAUAUUUUCUCUUCUCUCUCGCUGCCCUAGAUUCUCUCUCUCGUCUUCGUUACUCUCUUCUCAGAAAAUGGUGAGUGCUUGUUAUUAUUUUCUAUUAUUUUUUUUUUCAGAUUUUCUACUUAUUUCAUCUCUGUUGAUUUCAGUAAUUAGGGUUUUGUUAACAAUCUUAGUAAUCAAUAACACUGUGUGAUCAAUUUGUUACUGGUUUUUUAUUCUUCAUGUGCAAUUGAUUCAUGUAUUAGAUUCGAUUUAGCUAAUUUUGGUGGAUUUUAGUGUGAUUUGUUAAGUAAUCUAGGUUUGAUUAGCUCACAGAUCUGAGUUUCAUUUGGUGUAAUGUUAGAUCUUUGAAUCUCUAUGUUUUAUUAUCUGAUAAUCGAUCUUUUUGUUGGUUGAGACAUUUGGCGAACUUUUGGAAGAGUUAGGUUGCAGAUCCUAUUUGACAAUAUUGGAGUUUGGAUUUUACCAAUUUCUUUUGAUUUUUGUUGUCUAAGAUUUGUGUGGUGGUUGAUUAUUAAGAUUUCACUAAAUAAAAGUUUCAUUGCUGUUACUAUGUGUUCUCUUUCUUGAGUUUUAUUUUUCUGUCUGUUUUUUAAAGGAUAUACUAAUUCAUUGAACUCUUAAAACGUUUUACAAUGUAAAACCACAAUUCUUGGUGUGCCCUUGGUGUCUAUGUACUCAUGUUUUGUGGCUGUUUGAACUUGUUUGUCAUUGACAUUGGUUUAAGACAUGGUGGUGUUUGUUUUUCUCUUAGAUUUCAACAUUCAGCAAUUACCGUGUACAUCACACCAAAAUUUUUGUUGCAAAUAUUCGCUGAAGUAGUGUUAUAUUAAUGUUGACCAAUUAUUUAACCUCAAAAGUUUGAGUUUGACCAUUGAAAUUAGCACCGAUGGUUGUUGAAAUAUCGGAAAACAAACACCCCAAUUGUCUCCAAUUUUCAGUGUUAUAUAUCUUGUGCAACAGUGCAAGUACAGUUCCUAUUAACACAUUUAGUUUUUUUUUUUGGCAUCUCAGUUGAUUUUUCCUAACUUGGGUUGUGAAUUUUUUUUCCCUAAUGUUUUCUUAAUUUACAGGCUAAUGCUGCGUCUGGGAUUGCAGUGGAUGAUGAGUGCAAACUGAAGUUUUUGGAACUGAAGGCAAAAAGAACUUAUCGUUUCAUAGUUUUUAAGAUAGAGGACAAAACAAAACAGGUUGUUGUGGAAAAGCUUGGCGACCCUGCUGAUAGCUAUGAGGAUUUUGCUGCCAGCCUUCCUGCAGACGAGUGUCGGUACGCUGUCUAUGAUUUUGACUUUGUAACUGCGGAGAAUUGCCAGAAGAGCAGGAUUUUCUUCAUUGCAUGGUAAAUUAUAAUUAACAUAUUAGUAUGAAUGUAUGAUCUUCAUUAUAUUUAGUAGAAUGUCGCUUUACAUGUACCCUUGUUUUUCUUUCUGUACACACUACACAGGAGUCCUGAUGUAUCACGUGUGAGGAGCAAAAUGAUCUAUGCAAGCUCGAAGGACAGAUUCAAGAGAGAGCUGGAUGGUAUUCAGGUAGAACUGCAAGCAACAGAUCCUAGUGAAAUGGAUCUUGAGGUCAUUAGAAGCCGUGCCAGCUGAGUAUCUGGGCUUUGCAUUUGAUACAUUCUGCUUUACUUAUAUGACAUGUUUAUAGUUGUGGGGUGGUGAAGUUGGUUUGUUAUUUAAGUUUUACUGCACAAUCUUUUUAUAGAACAACAUUGGUGAGAUGUGAUUCGUCAUUUCUGAUUCUAUAUGAUGAAAGUGUCCCUUGUAGUCUCAUCUACAAGCCUAUAUGUAACAGUUUGUGGGGGGUAGACAACACCUUUAGUUUGUUUUUUGCAACUGUCAAAUGGAUGUACCCCUUUUAUGUUAAGUUGGAUUAUGGAAAAUUACUGGUUAAGAUCUCUUUUAUGCUGCUUUAACUGCCUUUUGUUGCUCUCUCAAUGUAGUCAUAUGAAUAGAGUUGAUGCCUGUCCCAUCUUUCA